GUUUUCCUUGAAGCGGCCCACUUGCUCCAACCUUGGUGUACUACUUAAGUUGUCGCCAUUCGUCUCACUGAGUUCAACUAGAGUUAUGGGUGGCUCUUGCAAUCCGAAGUUAUCUAAUUCAGUAUCGUUCGGGUAAUCCUGGAGGUAGUGGAAAGACUAUAGACACCCCACUCUUGCAAGCCGGGGGGUCUGAGGAAGCGCUGUGAGCUCCCCCCAGCGGGUCCUAGGCAGAUUCUGAGAGGCCAUCUGCUACUUUCCUCUAUGCCAGUGAGGGCGAAAAGGCGCCCGAGUUGAUCUUUAUAGCGCUUACGGGUGGAACACCUCUGUUACGCCGUCCUCCUUUCAGCUGGUGAAAGAAGAUCGCCUUUAACAUGUGGUACAGGUGUCCUAAUUAUUAAAAGUAUGUCAUGACAGAGGUUUUCUGUAAACCAACUUUUCUUCUAAUGACGUGUAUAGAAACUUGCAAUUAUCAUUAUUCUGUUCUC